rnacentral:lncRNA from 1 species
GUGGGGGGGAGGGGAUGGUUAUGGCUCAAAAUGUUUUGAAUUUAGGGGCAGAAAAGGGGGACAAACUAGGUUUUUAUGGCCAAUGGACAAUUAAGACAAUUUAAAAGCAAUGUAAAGGAGGUAACUCAAAAACAUGCAACAUACAAUGUUGUGUAUGUUUUGCAUUUACCUCCUUUACACUACUUAUAAAUUAUGUAUAAAGAAAUGUCAGGAUUUGGACUAAUAGGCAAAAAAAGGGGGGUGGUAUUAGUU